GCAGGGGAGCCCAUCGAUAAAAUGAAGGCUCCUCUGCAUUGUGACCGCUGAGAAAGUUGCAGGGUGUCAAAGGAAAUGACAUUGAAAUGAAGGCCCUGGAUGGGGCUGCAUACAGCAGGGAUAGGGAAGAAAGAGAUGUUGGCGGGACAACAAGGUCUGAAGGUGGCCCGGGAAGAUGGUCCUCAAACAGGUCAGCACCUGGACAGCUCCCUGUAGAGCUUAGGAAUGCGGGAGCAGGGGAUCUUUGCAAAAGAGUCCUCCUACAGGGUGUGAAGGGCAUGACACUGAGUCAGCGGGGCAAGGAGUCUGAGGAGGUGCUUAGCAACGGAAUUCUAAGUUUUUUCUUGGACCCAGUUGGACCCCAUCAUUGGCUGCUCACCGGAGACUAGGGAGUUCCUUUUCACUCGGUUACCUUCAUGAAGUUGCAUUUCAACAUUAGGCCCUUAACUUGAUAAAGAUCACUAAAGAAAAAUCACGUGAAAUUUACUACUUCAUUUGCUGCUUUAGAAAACCCGAAAUAUUGUUGAAGACCUCAUUCCUUCCGUUGCUCAGUCUCUGUUCUGUGUAAUAAAAUCAUUCCCAUGAAAUUUCCUUCAGAAUUCAGUGCCGGGAAAGGCUUCCACUCCUGGAGGCACACAUACGCUCCCUCUUCUCCAGUUAUGAGAACCCUAUAACUGGUCAUUGUUCCCACUUUUUGGACUGCUAAGAAAUGCAAAGCCAAGUUUGAGGAUCAAUGACAGCAAUUUUGGUAACUCUUGGGGGAAAUAUAUUCAUGUCU
rnacentral:lncRNA from 1 species